CCCAGGUUUCCUCCACCCCUGCAUGGUCUAAUAACCUCCACCCCUGCACCUUUUGCGGCCCUGGGCCUCCUCCCCACAGGCCGCAUGGCCUCUCCCUCCCCCACCCAGACGCAGCUGGGCAGGGGAGAGGUCCAGACUCCACUCACCAACACUGGAUUCCCAAAGAAGAAGCUCUCUGGGAAGCCUCUGCUUUUAACCCCUGUGUGUUCUCAGAGGCGUAUACAAUUCCUCAGUGACCACACCACAUGCCAAUUUCAAAUCUGGCCACUGAUUGGUCUGACCUAGGCAUUUCCAGAAACACACUUCCGGGCCAAACCACGACAUAGCUCUUUCCAUGCUCUAACAUAUGAGCAAGAACUGGGAUAAAGCAAUUGAAGACUUUGUAGAUUUGGGCUGCUGGAAAUUAAUUUUUCUGAGAGGUGGUAGGUUCUCAGAUCAACAUUCACACUGGCUUCAAAGACUAUAAUUUAUCAGCUUCAAGAAGGUCCAGAGAGGAGGAGGAGGAACUUCUAUGGCUUUAUAGAGCAGCAACCUCUAACAUCAAGUCCUUUCAGACUUUUGUUCUAGGCUGCCUCAUUUCUGAGCCUAAUUAUAAGACAUGGUUCAAUUUAUUAUGAAAAGUAACUUGAAAGAAAACAGUCAAAUUCAUGUCAAAGUGUUUCUUAAAAAGUGUUUAUGAAUCAGAAAGUUCCCUGUAGCAUAGUGUCAUUCUUUUUUUCUGUGAGAUUUAGCUGCAGCCAAAGAAAAUCAAAGACUGGGAUAGGUUCAGGUAUUGGAAGAGAAAAGUAAAAGCACUGGAGGAAGAAGUGAAAAAACAGUAGAAUUUCAGAAUUAUUGAAGUUGGAAAGAACCUCUUGAGGUCAUUUGGACCAACUUCCCUCCUCAAGUAGGGGUAACUUGAGUAGAUUGCUCAAUUCUGUACUCACUUGCAAUUUUAAUAUCUCCCAGUAUCCUUACUGCUUCUCUGGGAAGCUCAUGCUGUCUCUCACAACUCUCAAAGCACAACUGUUGUCUUAUGUUUAGAUGUAAUUUCUAGUACUUCAGUUUGUGCCCAUUGACUCUGGUCCUGCACACCACUACUCAGUCUGUCUCAUCUUCAUUCCCUCAAAAGCAGAACGUCUGUGGGACCUAAACUUCUCCUGUUUUUCUAUAACUCCUUCCUUCAAAGAAGUAGAAGCUAUGGGACACUUUCUGUGACCUUCAGAAUUCAAGCACGCAGCCCAGAGCACAUAUCAGAAUGUGAGGGAAACUCAUCUCUUCUGAGAUGGUUGUAUAUCCCAGACUUGUGAAGAGUAGCAGAAACCCCACAUGAGUUUCCUGUUGUUCACUAUUUUUUUACUCCAUAGUUUGUUGUCUCUGUUAUUUCUGGAUUUAAUGUUGCACUUCUUUCUGCCACUUCACCACCAAGCAUACAGACUUACGUAUUUCCCAUGUCUCUUCUAAAGAAACAGCCCCUCCUUCUUCUGAAGUCUUAAAUUAACAUGGAAGAAAG